UAUGGUUUACUGGGAAAUUUUGACGUGGUGAUUGAAACGUGCACCGCGCGACGACGUUUGAACUGUCCGGCGGCGGGAGAUCAUUUUUGAGCAACAGUUCAAUCAGUCAGACCUACGGUGUUCAGCACUCUGUCAAGUUCGCAGCUCCACCUUAAUGGUGCUGCUUCACUCUGCUACUUGUGGUGGAUCAGGCUGACUGCAACCAUUGGUCUAACGUUAGGAAAUCGAGAAUUUCUAAACGGAAAAAAGUGAAUAAAUGUACUUGCUUUUCAAACUGA